CGGUGGUGCAUUGUAGUUGCAUUGCAUGUGCAAGUGAAGAUGUGCAAUGCCCCUUCAGUGCAGCCCUG
rnacentral:pre_miRNA from 1 species